rnacentral:rRNA from 1 species
UACGUAGGGGGCAAGCGUUGUCCGGAUUUAUUGGGCGUAAAGAGCGUGUAGGCGGCCAGACAGGUCCACUGUGAAAACUCGAGGCUCAACCUCGAGAGGUCGGUGGAAACCGUCUGGCUAGAGUCCGGAAGAGGAGAGUGGAAUUCCCGGUGUAGCGGUGAAAUGCGCAGAUAUCGGGAAGAACACCCGUGGCGAAGGCGGCUCUCUGGGGCGGUACUGACGCUGAGACGCGAAAGCGUGGGGAGCGAACAGG